rnacentral:rRNA from 1 species
AUUGAACGGGGCUCAUGGCUGGAUGCUGUUGUGCUGGCGCUUCGAGGCAAUGUGCACACCUCUGGUCAUUUGUUUCUUUUGUUCCACCUGUGCAUUGCCUGUAGACGCAUUGUGUCUAUGAUAUUACACACCAUGUUGGUUGAUUAUAAUAUAAUAUAAUGAAAGAGUAAUAAAGUACAACUUUCAACAACGGAUCUCUUGGCUCUCGCAUCGAUGAAGAACACAGCGAAAUGUGAUAAGUAAUGUGAAUUGCAGAAUCCAGUGAAUCAUCGAAUCUUUGAACGCAUCUUGCGCUCCUUGGUAUUCUGAGGAGCAUGCCUGUUUGAGUGUCGUUAAACUAUCAAAAUUCUCUUAUCGAGAGUUUUGGACUUUGGGAGCAUUUUGCUGGUAUGUUUGAACCAGCUCUCCUUAAAUGCAUUAGGCUGUAGGCCAUCAGUGUGAUAAUUUGUUUACGCUGACUGUUGCGUGCCUCAGCUUCUUGUUUUAACAAUGUAUAAAGCCUUUUGACCUCAAAUCAGGUAGGACUACCCGCUGAACUUAAGCAUAUCAAUAAGCGGAGGAAAAGAAACUAACGAGGAUUCCCUCAGUAACUGCGAGUGAAGCGGGAAAAGCUCAAAUUUAAAAUCUGGCAGUCUAUUUUUCCUUCUUUGGCUGUCCGAGUUGUAACCUAGAGAAGUGCUUACCCGCGCUGGACCRUGUAUAAGUCUCCUGGAAUGGAGUGUCACAGAGGGUGAGAAUCCCGUCUUUGACAUGGACUGCCAGUGUGUUGUGGUGUGCUCUCAAAGAGUCGAGUUGUUUGGGAAUGCAGCUCUAAAUGGGUGGUAAACUCCAUCUAAAGCUAAAUAUUGGCGAGAGACCGAUAGCGAACAAGUACCGUGAGGGAAAGAUGAAAAGGACUUUGGAAAGAGAGUUAAACAGUAUGUGAAAUUGUUGAAAGGGAAACGCUUGAAGUCAGUUAUGUCGGGUAGGGAUCAACCUAGCAAAUUGCUGGGUGAAUUGCCUAGUCUGGCAGGCCAACAUCAGUUUUGACUGCUUGAAAAGAGCAGAGGGAAUGUGGCACCUUCGGGUGUGUUAUAGCCUUUUGUCAUAUGUAGCAGUUGGGACUGAGGUAUGC